AGCAUGGCCAGGAACACGCAAACAUGUCUCUUCGCUACGUGCCAACUCCACGGUACCGGAGAUUCAUGGAGGUCAAGGUCAUCAGGCUCCUGUAGCCCACUGACCUGGAGCAUCUGGCGCUGAGAGCUGGUCCCUGAUUAUCUACUGGUAGUAAACUGCGUCACUUCCGUGUUGCUGGUGGUAGUGGUUGCUGAGUGCCUAUCGACUUUGGUACAAAAGGAGCUGGAACUAGCAGAUGAAGACAGUGAGAUAGAUGGCAGAACCAAUGGCAGUCCCUGAGGUGACAUGCUGUGGGCUGCUCUCCUGGGAUCCGAAGCUGCCGAUCGUGACCGCCUGAGAACUGGGAGUCUGGGGAGUCAAGGUACCCUCUGAAACGCUGCUGACAGAGUAGCGAAAUAACGCUUCCAUUCAGGGCCACUGGUCCCCUGGUCACAUACGG